rnacentral:rRNA from 1 species
GCCGCGUGAGGGAUGACGGCCUUCGGGUUGUAAACCUCUUUCAGCAGGGACGAAGCGUGAGUGACGGUACCUGCAGAAGAAGCACCGGCCAACUACGUGCCAGCAGCCGCGGUAAUACGUAGGGUGCAAGCGUUGUCCGGAAUUACUGGGCGUAAAGAGCUCGUAGGCGGUUUGUCGCGUCGUCUGUGAAAACCAGCAGCUCAACUGUUGGCUUGCAGGCGAUACGGGCAGACUUGAGUAUUUCAGGGGAGACUGGAAUUCCUGGUGUAGCGGUGAAAUGCGCAGAUAUCAGGAGGAACACCGGUGGCGAAGGCGGGUCUCUGGGAAAUAACUGACGCUGAGGAGCGAAAGCGUGGGUAGCGAACAGGAUUAGAUACCCUGGUAGUCCACGCCGUAAACGGUGGGCGCUAGGUGUGGGUUUCCUUCCACGGGAUCCGUGCCGUAGCUAACGCAUUAAGCGCCCCGCCUGGGGAGUACGGCCGCAAGGCUAAAACUCAAAGGAAUUGACGGGGGCCCGCACAAGCGGCGGAGCAUGUGGAUUAAUUCGAUGCAACGCGAAGAACCUUACCUGGGUUUGACAUACACCGGAAAGC